GCCGGGCGUGGUGGCUCACGCCUGUAAUCCCAGCACUUUAGGAGGCCGAGGCGGGCGGAUCACCUGAGGUCAGGAGUUUGAGACCAGCCUGGCCAAUAGGGUGAAACCCCGUUUCUA
rfam:Chlorocebus sabaeus isolate 1994-021 chromosome 17, whole genome shotgun sequence.